rnacentral:rRNA from 1 species
GACGAACGCUGGCGGCGUGCUUAACACGUGCAAGUCGGACGGAAAGGCCCUGCUUUUGUGGGGUGCUCGAGUGGCGAACGGGUGAGUAACACGUGAGUAACCUGCCCUUGACUUUGGGAUAACUUCAAGAAACUGGGGCUAAUACCGGAUAGGAGCUCCUGCUGCAUGGUGGGGGUUGGAAAGUUUCGGCGGUUGGGGAUGGACUCGCGGCUUAUCAGCUUGUUGGUGGGGUAGUGGCUUACCAAGGCUUUGACGGGUAGCCGGCCUGAGAGGGUGACCGGCCACAUUGGGACUGAGAUACGGCCCAGACUCCUACGGGAGGCAGCAGUGGGGAAUAUUGCACAAUGGGCGGAAGCCUGAUGCAGCAACGCCGCGUGCGGGAUGACGGCCUUCGGGUUGUAAACCGCUUUCGCCUGUGACGAAGCGUGAGUGACGGUAAUGGGUAAAGAAGCACCGGCUAACUACGUG